CCGUAACUAUAACGGUCCUAAGGUAGCGAAAUUCCUUGUCGGGUAAGUUCCGACCUGCACGAAUGGCGUAAUGAUGGCCAGGCUGUCUCCACCCGAGACUCAGUGAAAUUGAACUCGCUGUGAAGAUGCAGUGUACCCGCGGCAAGACGGAAAGACCCCGUGAACCUUUACUAUAGCUUGACACUGAACAUUGAGCCUUGAUGUGUAGGAUAGGUGGGAGGCUUUGAAGCGUGGACGCCAGUCUGCGUGGAGCCAACCUUGAAAUACCACCCUUUAAUGUUUGAUGUUCUAACGUUGGCCCCUKACCGGGGUUGCGGACAGUGUCUGGUGGGUAGUUUGACUGGGGCGGUCUCCUCCCAAAGCGUAACGGAGGAGCACGAAGGUUAGCUAAUCCUGGUCGGACAUCAGGAGGUUAGUGCAAUGGCAUAAGCUAGCUUGACUGCGAGCGUGACGGCGCGAGCAGGUGCGAAAGCAGGUCAUAGUGAUCCGGUGGUUCUGAAUGGAAGGGCCAUCGCUCAACGGAUAAAAGGUACUCCGGGGAUAACAGGCUGAUACCGCCCAAGAGUUCAUAUCGACGGCGGUGUUUGGCACCUCGAUGUCGGCUCAUCACAUCCUGGGGCUGAAGUAGGUCCCAAGGGUAUGGCUGUUCGCCGUUUAAAGUGGUACGCGAGCUGGGUUUAGAACGUCGUGAGACAGCCAAUGGCAUUGCCCGGUAGCUAAGUGCGGAAGAGAUAACCGCUGAAAGCAUCUAAGCGGGAAACUUGCCUUGAGAUGAGUCUUCCCUGACUCUUUAAGGGUCCUAAAGGAACGUUUAAGACUAAGACGUUGAUAGGUUGGGUGUGUAAGCGUAGCGAUACGUUGAGCUAACCAAUACUAAUGAACCGUGAGGCUUAACCUG
rnacentral:rRNA from 1 species